GAUGAACGCUGGCGGCGUGCCUAAUACAUGCAAGUCGAGCGAACAGAUAAGGAGCUUGCUCCUUUGACGUUAGCGGCGGACGGGUGAGUAACACGUGGGUAACCUACCUAUAAGACUGGAAUAACUCCGGGAAACCGGGGCUAAUGCCGGAUAACAUGUUGAACCGCAUGGUUCUACAGUGAAAGGCGGCUUUGCUGUCACUUAUAGAUGGACCCGCGCCGUAUUAGCUAGUUGGUGAGGUAACGGCUCACCAAGGCAACGAUACGUAGCCGACCUGAGAGGGUGACCGGCCCACCUGGAACUGGGACCCGGUCCAGACCCCUACGGGGGGCCGCAGUAGGGAAUCUUCCGCAAUGGGGGAAAGCCUGACGGGGCAACCCCGCGGGGGUGAUGAAGGUCUUCGGAUCGUAAAACCUUUUUUUUGGGGAAAAAAAAAUGCGUAAGGAACUGUGCGGCUCUUGGCGGUACCUAAUCAGAAAGCCCCGGCUAACUACG
rnacentral:rRNA from 1 species